UUCUUCAUUUUUGAAAUGUUUUGCACUAAAGAAUGCAAGUUCUGUUUGGACUGAGUGUCUCCGUGACUGCCACGCUUCAUGGCAGGCUAAAUUGAUUUCACAUGGUAACUAAAGCUAAGAGCAUGUAGGAACAAAUUUCUUAAUUCUCUUCUGGAAACACUGAAGUACAUCUUUGGCAUGUGAAUUGCUAUGACAGUGAGGAUCAAAGAAGUGACUUUGGGGGUAUAUCCUUUAGGAAAAGGAGAAGCACAGCGGAGGCACAGGAUGAAGACACAGGGCACACCUCUGCGAGUUGCACAGGUAAAACAUUAUGCAAGGACAGUGUCUCUUCACACUGAAGAUGAAGCUUGCAUCAUAUGUUCUUUGUUUUGACUGGGGAAAAUAAAGGAAAGGACAUACUGCAAAGACAAAA